rnacentral:rRNA from 1 species
CCUACGGGUGGCAGCAGUAGGGAAUCUUUCACAAUGGGCGAAAGCCUGAUGGAGCAACGCCGCGUGCAGGAUGAAGGCCAUCGGGUUGUAAACUGCUUUUAUAAGCGAGAAAUAUGAUGGUAACUUAUGAAUAAGGAUCGGCUAACUACGUGCCAGCAGCCGCGGUCAUACGUAGGAUCCGAGCAUUAUCCGGAGUGACUGGGUGUAAAGAGUUGCGUAGGUGGCAUAAUAAGUAGCUAGUGAAAUCUGGUGGCUCAACCAUUCAGACUAUUAGCUAAACUGUUAAGCUCGAGACCGUUAGGGGUAACUGGAAUUUCUAGUGUAGGAGUGAAAUGCGUAGAUAUUAGAAGGAACACCAAUAGCGUAGGCAGGUUACUGGGACGGUUCUGACACUAAGGCACGAAAGCGUAGGGAGCAAACGGGAUUAGAUACCCCGGUAGUC